CCCCAGCAGCUUCAUACGUAUGGGAGCUUAUCUUCUCACCUCUUUUUUUUUAGCUUUUUCUUCCUCUCUUUCUCUAAAGCACUAGAAUGGUUUUUGAAGAAGAGUUUAGUGAAUUUGGGUAUUGUGAGCUGAGAAGAGGCUAGUGAGCAGGGAUUCAGCUAGAAAGAAUGAAAUUGAGGUCCACACGUGAGAGGCGUUGCGGCACGAGAAAAGGGCAUAACUUGAUAGUUAGCGUCUUGCCAUUGUGUCAAAGAUAGAUGUACUCUAAACAGUGUAGUUUAAAGGUAUAAAAAGAAAAGAGAGAAAUUAUAAUAACAAUUUGGUUGUAUUUGGAAAGAAAAAUGUAAUAUGUAAUUUGGAUGGGACGAAUGCUUGUAAUAGUAUAGAUGUUUUAUGUUAUGAUGCUUUGCUUACA